CUAAUACAUGCAAGUCGAACGGAGGUUGUAGCAAUACGACCUUAGUGGCGAACGGGUGAGUAACGCGUUGGUGACCUGCCCCGAAGUGUGGGAUAACAGCUCGAAAGGGCUGCUAAUACCGCAUGUGAUCCCCCGGAUUAGAUGCCGGGUGAUUAAAGGCGAAAGUCGCUUCGGGGAGGGGCCUGCGUCCCAUCAGCUAGUUGGUAGGGUAAUGGCCUACCAAGGCGAUGACGGGUAGGGGACCUGAGAGGGUGGCCCCCCACAAUGGAACUGAAACACGGUCCAUACACCUACGGGUGGCAGCAGUAGGGAAUAUUGGUUAAUGGGCGAAAGCCUGAACCAGCAACGCCGCGUGCGCGAUGAAGGCCUUCGGGUUGUAAAGCGCUUUUUGAGGGGAAGAGGAAGGACGGUACCCUCAGAAUAAGUCUCGGCUAACUACGUGCCAGCAGCCGCGGUAACACGUAGGAGACGAGCGUUAUCCGGAUUUACUGGGCGUAAAGCGCGUGCAGGCGGUCCAGCAAGUUGGAUGUGAAAGCUCCCGGCUUAACUGGGAGAGGUCGUUCAAUACUACUGGACUUGAGAGUGGUAGAGGGAGGUGGAAUUCCGGGUGUAGUGGUGAAAUGCGUAGAUAUCCGGAGGAACACCAGUGGCGAAAGCGGCCUCCUGGACCACUUCUGACGCUCAGACGCGAAAGCUAGGGUAGCGAACGGGAUUAGAGACCCCGGUAGUCACUAGCCGUAAACGAUGUAGACUUGGCGUUGGUGGGUUCAAAUCCAUCAGUGCCGAAGCUAAAGCGAUAAGUCUACCGCC
rnacentral:rRNA from 1 species